UACAGAGGGUGCGAGCGUUGUUCGGAAUUACUGGGCGUAAAGCGUGCGCAGGCGGUUUUGUAAGGCAGAUGUGAAAUCCCCGGGCUUAACCUGGGAAUGGCAUUUGGGACUGCAAGGCUUGAGUGCGGCAGAGGAGACUGGAAUUCCUGGUGUAGCAGUGAAAUGCGUAGAUAUCAGGAGGAAUACCGAUGGCGAAGGCAGGUCUCUGGGCUGACACUGACGCUCAUGCACGAAAGCGUGGGGAGCAAACAGG
rnacentral:rRNA from 1 species